GAGAGCCGUAUGAUGGGAAACUAUCACGUACGGUUCGGGAAAGGGGUAAAUGUGGUUUUAUUUAGCGCUUAUUUACGAGUUCUUUUUUAGGCUCUUUUACUAUUUUAC
rnacentral:ncRNA from 1 species